CAACAUCGAUUAGCCGCAAUGAGGGAUUAUACAAGUCAACAAUGAUAAGCACAGUUGGCUAGCAGAGUCCAGUUCCAAAAGGAUGCAAUUUUGGUGAUAUGUAAGAAAACAUUCCACAAUACAAUUUGUGAAGUUUUUAGCUAUAAAUUUAUCGGUUUAGGUUAUUUUCAAAGUAUAGUCGUUUUCAAAAAAUUAUAUUCGUUUUCAAAUUAAAUUCGUUAUCGUUCAGUAGUAACCUUUUUCAUUCAAAACUCGUCUUCAUCUAUAACUAAUCUACAUCUUCAUCUUCAUCUUUACCUCUACUUUCUCCCAUCUCUCCUUCCUAUCGUCUCCUUCCUCUCUGCAUCUUGCCGGCCGCCAUUUUCUGACUCGGCGGGUCAUCCACCUUUUAAGCUCAACCUUGUUUUGCUGGUCGCUCGCUCAAUUCUUACAAAAGCCCAGGUUAAUAGUGCGAUUGGGUGAUAUGCAAUGGAAAUUAGCGCAUAUCUCAAGUUGUACGCACACAUACGCUAAUCUGGCGGCAAUUCCUAUUUUCUAUUACAUUGCAUAAGUCAAAGCUACUUUGCACAAAUUCAAGUAGCAUUCAUUUCCUUCUCUAAAAUAAUGUCUAGUCUUUGGACUUUUAUCGUUUUCAAUGGUUUUAUUUCUUUUUUCCAUUCCAUUUAUUUUUUUUUUGAAAUUUUCACCUUUCUCAAUUUAUUCGUCGUUCUUUUUUUAAUAUAAUAAGAUUAUACUUUUACAGCAUACAUUGUGUCUCACAUAGUCUCUUCCAUCGCGUUUCCCAUUUUAUGAUCUUGCUAAAAAAAUGUCAUUCUUAUGCAAAUCACCCUGUACUACCACAGCACUUACCUUUCCGACAUUCUUGUUCUCCAUCUUACAUGUCUAUCACUGUAGCGAUAGAUUAUUUGUGGUGCAUGCCAUCUCCAGGGAUGAUGGAAGGGAAACACAAGCACCCACGCCUAAUUUUCGGUAAAUUGUAGCAAAAUUCCAAUGGCAAUGACUCGAUAGAAUCAUUGUAUGUGUGUGGUUUCUUUCCUUCCGCUCGUAGUACCUGUAUUUUUCAUCAUGACUCCAAGUCUUCGCCAUUCUUAUUUCACUCCCGUUCCGUUCACCCCAAACUACUUCCUCAUCACUUGCUUACUACUCAAACUGCCGGCACUUGUUUUCACACAUUCGCUAUGCUUUUUUAUUCUUUUAACAUUUGCUUAAACCUUACCUAUAAUACCCUGCGGUUUCGCAAAUUGCCGCUCUUCAAAUGCCCGCUUACUCUAUUUUGCUUUCUCCACCCCUCCUUAACUCUCCAACUUCCCCAGCGUUCUACAAUUCCUCAUUCAUU